rnacentral:rRNA from 1 species
GACAGAGGAUGCAAGCGUUAUCCGGAAUGAUUGGGCGUAAAGCGUCUGUAGGUGGCUUUUUAAGUCUGCCGUCAAAUCCCAGGGCUUAACCCUGGACAGGCGGUGGAAACUACCAAGCUGGAGUACGGUAGGGGCAGGGGGAAUUUCCGGUGGAGCGGUGAAAUGCGUAGAGAUCGGAAAGAACACCAACGGCGAAAGCACUCUGCUGGGCCGACACUGACACUCAACUACGAAAGCGUGGGGAGCAAACAGG